rnacentral:rRNA from 1 species
AAACCAGCACCUCAAGUGGUCAGGAUGAUUAUUGGGCCUAAAGCAUCCGUAGCCUGCUUUGUAAGUUCUCGGUUAAAUCCAUAUGCUCAACAUAUGGGCUGCCGGGAAUACUGCACAGCUAGGGAGUGGGAGAGGUAGACGGUACUCGGUAGGAAGGGGUAAAAUCCUUUGAUCUAUUGAUGACCACCUGUGGCGAAGGCGGUCUACCAGAACACGUCCGACGGUGAGGGAUGAAAGCUGGGGGAGCAAACCGGAUUAGAUACCCGUGUAGUCC